GAUGAACGCUAGCGGGAGGCCUAACACAUGCAAGCCGAGCGGUAGAGAUCUUUCGGGAUCUUGAGAGCGGCGUACGGGUGCGGAACACGUGUGCAACCUGCCUUUAUCUGGGGGAUAGCCUUUCGAAAGGAAGAUUAAUACCCCAUAAUAUACUGAAUGGCAUCAUUCGGUAUUGAAAACUCCGGUGGAUAGAGAUGGGCACGCGCAAGAUUAGAUAGUUGGUGAGGUAACGGCUCACCAAGUCUACGAUCUUUAGGGGGCCUGAGAGGGUGAUCCCCCACACUGGUACUGAGACACGGACCAGACUCCUACGGGAGGCAGCAGUGAGGAAUAUUGGACAAUGGGUGAGAGCCUGAUCCAGCCAUCCCGCGUGAAGGACGACGGCCCUAUGGGUUGUAAACUUCUUUUGUAUAGGGAUAAACCUACCCUCGUGAGGGUAGCUGAAGGUACUAUACGAAUAAGCACCGGCUAACUCCGUGCCAGCAGCCGCGGUAAUACGGAGGGUGCAAGCGUUAUCCGGAUUUAUUGGGUUUAAAGGGUCCGUAGGCGGAUCUGUAAGUCAGUGGUGAAAUCUCACAGCUUAACUGUGAAACUGCCAUUGAUACUGCAGGUCUUGAGUGUUGUUGAAGUAGCUGGAAUAAGUAGUGUAGCGGUGAAAUGCAUAGAUAUUACUUAGAACACCAAUUGCGAAGGCAGGUUACUAAGCAACAACUGACGCUGAUGGACGAAAGCGUGGGGAGCGAACAGGAUUAGAUACCCUGGUAGUCCACGCCGUAAACGAUGCCUAACUCGUUUUUGGANNGUAAGNUUCAGAGACUAAGCGAAAGUGAUAAGUUAGCCACCUGGGGAGUACGAACGCAAGUUUGAAACUCAAAGGAAUUGACGGGGGCCCGCACAAGCGGUGGAUUAUGUGGUUUAAUUCGAUGAUACGCGAGGAACCUUACCAAGGCUUAAAUGGGAAAUGACAGGUUUAGAAAUAGACUUUUCUUCGGACAUUUUUCAAGGUGCUGCAUGGUUGUCGUCAGCUCGUGCCGUGAGGUGUUAGGUUAAGUCCUGCAACGAGCGCAACCCCUGUCACUAGUUGCCAUCAUUAAGUUGGG
rnacentral:rRNA from 1 species